GUAGUCAUAUGCUUGUCUCAAAGAUUAAGCCAUGCAUGUCUAAGUAUAAGCAAUUUAUUCAGUGAAACUGCGAAUGGCUCAUUAAAUCAGUUAUCGUUUAUUUGAUAGUACCUUUACUACUUGGAUAACCGUGGUAAUUCUAGAGCUAAUACAUGCUAAAAAUCCCGACUGCUUGGGAGGGAUGUAUUUAUUAGAUAAAAAAUCAAUGCUCUUCGGAGCUCUAUGAUGAUUCAUAAUAACUUGUCGAAUCGCAUGGCCUUGUGCUGGCGAUGGUUCAUUCAAAUUUCUGCCCUAUCAACUUUCGUUGGUAAGAUAGUGGCCUACCAUGGUUUCAACGGGUAACGGGGAAU
rnacentral:rRNA from 1 species